rnacentral:rRNA from 1 species
GUAGGCAUAAGUAACGAUAAGGCGGGAGAGAAACCCGCCCACCGAAAGGAUAAGGUUUCCUGAUCAACGCUAAUCGGAUCAGGGUUAGUCGGGGCCUAAGGAGAACCCGAAGGGGAAAUUCGAUGGACAACGGAUUAAUAUUUCCGUACUUUUUAUAACUGCGAUGUGGGGACGGAGUAGUGACACUGCCGCGAUCUGACGGAAUAGAUCGUUAAAGGCUGUAGGUAUUGGAGUGGCAGGCAAAUCCGCCGCUCUAGCUAAAGGCUGAUAGUACCGCGAGCCUUCGGGUAAGCGGAUAGCGCAGGUAAUCAGACUUCCAAGAAAAACCGCUAAGCUUCAGGUUAUAAAAACCCGUACCGCAAACCGACACAGGUAUCCGGGAAGAGAAUUCUAAGGUGCUCGAGUGAAUCAUGGCUAAGGAACUCGGCAAAAUGGCCCUGUAACUUCGGGAGAAGGGGCGCUGGCAGCAAUGUCAGCCGCAGUGAAAAGGCCCAGGCGACUGUUUAACAAAAACACAUGGCUUCGCAAAAUCGAAAGAUGAAGUAUAAGGCCUGACACCUGCCCGGUGCUGGAAGGUUAAGAGGGGAUGUUAGGGUUAAACCGAAGCAUUGAAUUGAAGCCCCAGUAAACGGCGGCCGUAACAAUAACGGUCCUAAGGUAGCGAAAUUCCUUGUCGGGUAAGUUCCGACCUGCACGAAUGGUGUAACGAUCUGGGCGCUGUCUCAGCCAUGAGCUCGGUGAAAUUGUGGUCCCGGUGAAGACGCCGGGUACCCGCAACGGACGGAAAGACCCCAUGCACCUUCACUACAAUUUAACAUUGACAUUGGAUACAGGAUGUGUAGGAUAGGUGGGAGGCUAUGAAGCGGCAUCGCUAGGUGUUGUGGAGCCAACGUUGAAAUACCACCCUUUUUGUAUUCGGUGUCUAACUCUUACAAGGAGGACAUUGUUUGAUGGGUAGUUUGACUGGGGUGGUCGCCUCCAAAAAGGUAACGGAGGCUUUCAAAGGUAAGCUCAAUACGCUUGGUAACCGUAUGCGGAGUGCAAUAGCAUAAGCUUGCUUGACUGUGAGGCAGACAAGCCGAGCAGGGUCGAAAGACGGAUAUAGUGAUCCGGUGGUUCUGCAUGGAAGGGCCAUCGCUCAAAGGAUAAAAGGUACGCUGGGAUAACAGGCUGAUCUCCCCCAAGAGCUCAUAUCGACGGGGAGGUUUGGCACCUCGAUGUCGGCUCGUCACAUCCUGGGGCUGGAGAAGGUCCCAAGGGUUCGGCUGUUCGCCGAUUAAAGUGGCACGCGAGCUGGGUUCAGAACGUCGCGAGACAGUUCGGUCCCUAUCUGUUGUGGGCGUAGGAAUUUUGAGUGGGGCUGACCUUAGUACGAGAGGACCGGGUUGGACCAGCCUCUAGUGAAUCUGUUGUUCCGCCAGGGGCAUUGCAGAGUAGCUACGCUGGGAAUAGAUAAGCGCUGAAAGCAUCUAAGUGCGAAACUAGCCACCAGAUGAGAAUUCCAUAUAGGACCGUAGCAGACUACUACGUUGAUAGGUUACAUGUAAAGGUUGUGAGACCAAAGUCGAGUAAUACUAAUCAUCU